AGUGAACGCUGGCGGCGUGCCUAAUACAUGCAAGUCGAACGGAGUGGCGCACGGGUGAGUAAUGUAUAGCUAAUCUGCCCUACACUAGAGGACAACAGUUGGAAAAGACUGCUAAUACUCUAUAGUGUAGGAUGAGGCUAUAUUGUAUCAGCUAGUUGGUGAGGUAACGGCUCACCAAGGCUAUGACGCAUAACUGGUCUGAGAGGAUGAUCAGUCGCACUGGAACUGAGGCACGGUCCGGACACCUACGGGAGGCAGCAGUAGGGAAUAUUUGUCAAUGGGGGAAACCCUGGAGGGGCAACGCCGCGUGGAGGAUGGCACUUUGCGGAGCGUAAACACCUUUUGUUAGGGAAGCGGUACCUAACGAGUAAGCACCGGCUAACUCCGUGCCAGCAGCCGCGGUAAUUC
rnacentral:rRNA from 1 species